GCCGACAACUUUUCCCCAAUAAUUCAUCCAAACAAAGCAGCCGGCGGAACAGAAAUAACAGAAAUACAAAACAAGCAAGAAAAGUGGGAAAACGUCAAUAAUGCCUUGGCGAAAAGCCACAGACAGGCAACAUUUUUAGCUGCGGCCCCCUUAUGCCCCAUGCCCCCACGAAAAAUGGGCUCGGGGUAGGCGCUUGUCUAGCUGAUUGACAAGAAACGAAUCAAAAUUGAAAUAUAAAUGAAGCAGCAUUCGACGCCCGUUCGAAAUCCCGUCCGAAAGGGAAAAUCCGGCAAGGAAGUGUCGAGGAGAGGGGGAUUUUCCAAAGCGAGCCAAAAAUUCGCUGCGCUGGAAAGUAUGCAAUAUAAAUUGUAGUCCAUCACAAAAAAGGGAGGGAAACCGAAACGAGAAAGGACGAAGCAAACGGAUGGGCUUGAUGGAAUAAAUAAAACUAAAAAUUGAAAA